rnacentral:tRNA from 2 species
GGGGAGUUGCCCGAGUGGACAAUGGGAGCAGACUGUAAAUCUGCCGGCGCAUGCCUACGGAGGUUCGAAUCCUCCACUCCCCACCA